rnacentral:tRNA from 1 species
GGCGAGUGGUACUCGGUUGGUUUAGACACCGCACUCAUAAUGCGGGGGUCACAAGUUCAAGUCUCGUCAUAGCCACCA